rnacentral:rRNA from 1 species
UACGGAGGGUGCGAGCGUUGUCCGGAAUCACUGGGCGUAAAGGGCGCGUAGGCGGCGCGGGGAGUCAACGGUGAAAGCUCGGCGCUCAACGCCGAGUCGGCCGUCGAUACUCCCCGUGCUCGAGCACUGUAGAGGCAGGUGGAAUUCCGGGUGUAGCGGUGGAAUGCGUAGAGAUCCGGAAGAACACCGGUGGCGAAGGCGGCCUGCUGGGCAGUAGCUGACGCUGAGGCGCGACAGCGUGGGGGAGCAAACAGG